rnacentral:rRNA from 1 species
GAUGAACGCUGGCGGCGUGCCUAAUACACGCAAGUCGAGCGAACAGACGAGGAGCUUGCUCCUUUGACGUUAGCGGCGGACGGGUGAGUAACACGUGGGUAACCUACCUAUAAGACUGGGAUAACUUCGGGAAACCGGAGCUAAUACCGGAUAAUAUUUCGAACCGCAUGGUUCGAUAGUGAAAGAUGGCUUUGCUAUCACUUAUAGAUGGACCUGCGCCGUAUUAGCUAGUUGGUAAGGUAACGGCUUACCAAGGCAACGAUACGUAGCCGACCUGAGAGGGUGAUCGGCCACACUGGAACUGAGACACGGUCCAGACUCCUACGGGAGGCAGCAGUAGGGAAUCUUCCGCAAUGGGCGAAAGCCUGACGGAGCAACGCCGCGUGAGUGAUGAAGGUCUUCGGAUCGUAAAACUCUGUUAUUAGGGAAGAAUAAACGUGUAAGUAACUGUGCACGUCUUGACGGUACCUAAUCAGAAAGCCACGGCUAACUACGUGCCAGCAGCCGCGGUAAUACGUAGGUGGCAAGCGUUAUCCGGAAUUAUUGGGCGUAAAGCGCGCGUAGGCGGUUUUUUAAGUCUGAUGUGAAAGCCCACGGCUCAACCGUGGAGGGUCAUUGGAAACUGGAAAACUUGAGUGCAGAAGAGGAAAGUGGAAUUCCAUGUGUAGCGGUGAAAUGCGCAGAGAUAUGGAGGAACACCAGUGGCGAAGGCGACUUUCUGGUCUGUAACUGACGCUGAUGUGCGAAAGCGUGGGGAUCAAACAGGAUUAGAUACCCUGGUAGUCCACGCCGUAAACGAUGAGUGCUAAGUGUUAGGGGGUUUCCGCCCCUUAGUGCUGCAGCUAACGCAUUAAGCACUCCGCCUGGGGAGUACGACCGCAAGGUUGAAACUCAAAGGAAUUGACGGGGACCCGCACAAGCGGUGGAGCAUGUGGUUUAAUUCGAAGCAACGCGAAGAACCUUACCAAAUCUUGACAUCCUUUGACCCUUCUAGAGAUAGAAGUUUCCCCUUCGGGGGACAAAGUGACAGGUGGUGCAUGGUUGUCGUCAGCUCGUGUCAUGAGAUGUUGGGUUAAGUCCCGCAACGAGCGCAACCCUUAAGCUUAGUUGCCAUCAUUAAGUUGGGCACUCUAAGUUGACUGCCGGUGACAAACCGGAGGAAGGUGGGGAUGACGUCAAAUCAUCAUGCCCCUUAUGAUUUGGGCUACACACGUGCUACAAUGGACAAUACAAAGGGCAGCGAAACCGCGAGGUCAAGCAAAUCCCAUAAAGUUGUUCUCAGUUCGGAUUGUAGUCUGCAACUCGACUACAUGAAGCUGGAAUCGCUAGUAAUCGUAGAUCAGCAUGCUACGGUGAAUACGUUCCCGGGUCU